GGGGAAUCUUAGACAAUGGGGGAAACCCUGAUCUAGCCAUGCCGCGUGAGCGAUGAAGGCCUUAGGGUUGUAAAGCUCUUUCAGCUGGGAAGAUAAUGACGGUACCAGCAGAAGAAGCCCCGGCUAACUCCGUGCCAGCAGCCGCGGUAAUACGGAGGGGGCUAGCGUUGUUCGGAAUUACUGGGCGUAAAGCGCACGUAGGCGGAUUAUUAAGUCGGGGGUGAAAUCCCGGGGCUCAACCCCGGAACUGCCUUCGAUACUGGUAGUCUUGAGGUCGAGAGAGGUGAGUGGAAUUCCGAGUGUAGAGGUGAAAUUCGUAGAUAUUCGGAGGAACACCAGUGGCGAAGGCGGCUCACUGGCUCGAUACUGACGCUGAGGUGCGAAAGCGUGGGGAGCAAAC
rnacentral:rRNA from 1 species